UCUGUCUGCUUUAUCCGAUCUUAUCCAACAGUGCCAUUUACCACAGUUUUCAAAUCAAAAGCCAGGUGUAUGUUCCCUGGAGAAAUUUAAGAAAAUAUAGUUAAAGAAAGAAAGGCAGCCUCUUGGUGUUUACUACUCAAGUCUUCUUUCUGUGAUAUAUAGCAACUUUCCAGUGUACAAAAUGGUGACGGAGUUUGAAAUGAGAGACAAGAAUGAAGGAUGGAGCCCUGGCACCAGCCCUAAAGAACACCCCUUUCUUGCCUGCCCCCUCUGCCCAGAGCCUGCAUGCAGCUCUAAGUUGGAAUUGUCAGCUAACCAAUCAAGUAUUUCCGGAGAACACACUAGUCAUAAAAUCACCAGUUCCAUGUUCUCAACACUCAGGAUAGCAAUAAACAAUGAAUUCCCCUGAACAGCUAAACAACACUGUCCGUUGUCUGCUGAGAGUGAGAGGAAAGAGCUGGUGAGAUGUGAGUUUUGACAUGAGUGAAGAGAUCUAAAAUAGGCACUUAUGAAGAAGAGAGAGCGAACAAACCAAGGAAACAUCUAAAAUUCCAAAGAGGCCUCAUCAAGGGGGAGGCUUGGGGAAGAAAUUAUAGAUCAAAGUAAAGAGGGGAGGAGAAAACAUCUGCUAAGUGACAGUCCUGCCCCAUGUGCUCAUGGGAACCAAGAUUUCCCAACGUUGACAAUAUUGGAAAUUUGGGCCCAUAGGUUCUUUGUUGUGGGGGGGUUAUCUUGUGCACCAUAGGAUGCAGCAUCUCUUGGCCUCUGUCCACUAGAUGCCAGGCACACACACAUGCACAUGUGUGCACGUGCACACACACACACACACACACACACACACACACACACACCAGCUGUGACAACCAAGAAUGUCUCCAAACACUGCUGAAUGUCUCCUGAGGAGCCAGAUGGUCCCAGUUGUGAGCCACUGAUGUAUAUACUAUUUUAUUUGAUCCUAUAGAGCAAGGACAAUGGUCCUGCUCUCAGGGAUGAGAUUAGAUGCCCAAGGACACACAACAAGGAACAGAUGGAACCAAAAUUCAAACCAUGUCUGCUGAAGACACAUUCUUCACUCUGGCCCUGAGCUCCAAAGCCCUCAGUGUACCACCAGCACCACCACGAAGCAGGAACUGAGCACCCUCGGUCCGGCGCUCAGGACCUUUCCACUAGGGUUCUACACCCCAUAGAGUUGCUUUGAGCAGCGAUCUGUUUUCUGGAAAGAAUUAGAAAGAAUUAAUAAAAAUCAAAUCUUU